AUUGAACGCUGGCGGAAUGCUUUACACAUGCAAGUCGAACGGCAGCACGGGGGCAACCCUGGUGGCGAGUGGCGAACGGGUGAGUAAUACAUCGGAACGUGCCCAGUCGUGGGGGAUAACUACGCGAAAGCGUGGCUAAUACCGCAUACGAUCUACGGAUGAAAGCGGGGGACCGCAAGGCCUCGCGCGAUGGGAGCGGCCGAUGGCAGAUUAGGUAGUUGGUGGGGUAAAGGCCUACCAAGCCGACGAUCUGUAGCUGGUCUGAGAGGACGACCAGCCACACUGGGACUGAGACACGGCCCAGACUCCUACGGGAGGCAGCAGUGGGGAAUUUUGGACAAUGGGCGCAAGCCUGAUCCAGCCAUUCCGCGUGCAGGAUGAAGGCCCUCGGGUUGUAAACUGCUUUUGUACGGAACGAAACGGUGCUCUCUAAUACAGGGCGCUAAUGACGGUACCGUAAGAAUAAGCACCGGCUAACUACGUGCCAGCAGCCGCGGUAA
rnacentral:rRNA from 1 species